AUUGAACGCUGGCGGAAUGCUUUACACAUGCAAGUCGAACGGUAGAGGGGGCAACCCCUCGAGAGUGGCGAACGGGUGAGUAAUAUAACGGAACGUGCCCAGUCGUGGGGGAUAACGUAGCGAAAGUUACGCUAAUACCGCAUACGAUCUAAGGAUGAAAGCGGGGGACUGCAAGACCUCGCGCGAUUGGAGCGGCCGAUAUCAGAUUAGGUAGUUGGUUGGGUAAAGGCUCACCAAGCCAACGAUCUGUAGCUGGUCUGAGAGGACGACCAGCCACACUGGAACUGAGACACGGUCCAGACUCCUACGGGAGGCAGCAGUGGGGAAUUUUGGACAAUGGACGCAAGUCUGAUCCAGCCAUUCCGCGUGCAGGAUGAAGGCCCUCGGGUUGUAAACUGCUUUUGUACGGAACGAAAAGGUCUCUCUUAAUACGGGGGACUCAUGACGGUACCGUAAGAAUAAGCACCGGCUAACUACGUGCCAGCCGCCGCGGUAA
rnacentral:rRNA from 1 species